CACUGUCACUCCUACGGGAGGCAGCAGUGGGGAAUAUUGCACAAUGGGCGCAAGCCUGAUGCAGCCAUGCCGCGUGUGUGAAGAAGGCCUUCGGGUUGUAAAGCACUUUCAGUCGUGAGGAAGGUGGUGUAGUUAAUAGCUGCAUCAUUUGACGUUAGCGACAGAAGAAGCACCGGCUAACUCCGUGCCAGCAGCCGCGGUAAUACGGAGGGUGCGAGCGUUAAUCGGAAUUACUGGGCGUAAAGCGCAUGCAGGUGGUUUGUUAAGUCAGAUGUGAAAGCCCCGGGGCUCAACCUCGGAAUAGCAUUUGAAACUGGCAGACUAGAGUACUGUAGAGGGGGUAGAAUUUCAGGUGUAGCGGUGAAAUGCGUAGAGAUCUGAAGGAAUACCGGUGGCGAAGGCGGCCCCCUGGACAGAUACUGACACUCAGAUGCGAAAGCGUGGGGAGCAAACAGGAUUAGAUACCCUGGUAG
rnacentral:rRNA from 1 species